rnacentral:siRNA from 1 species
UCAAAACGUAAAGACUCUCAUAAG